UAUAUGUGUGUGUGUAUAUCAUAUAUUUCCUUUCUUUAAUUUACCAUUAAAAAAUGCAAUGGCUUGUCUGUAUCUGAAGGGUUUCAAGUUCGAAAUUACCUGGCUAAUAUUUAAUGAUGAAUUUGAAUAAUAAUAAUAUAAUUUGUUAUCCAAAAUCCUCGUGGAUUCCACAAAUGUAGUCAUUUGACAAGAAAAUCAAUUUCAAAAUCCAUGCUGCCAUGUGCACUGUGCAUUUGAAAGUUUUCUUUUAUCAACCUCUUACAAAAAAUUAGGAUAUGGAUCUAGUAAAGAUACGACAAAUAAAUAAAUAAAUAAAUAAAUUUAUAAUGGGCCAUUUUACUAGUAUGAAUAUAAAAAAUAAAAUAAAAUUAUAUGAAUAUAAAUUUAUAAUACAUUGAUAUGAGAGACAUUGAUGUAUAUGUGGGUGUAUUAUUAAUUUUACUAGUUUUUCCCUCUCUGACCGUAAAACAAAAUAUAAUAAUUAACAAAAUGUCUCCAAAAUGACCAUGAACACAAAGGGCCAUUUAGACUUAAGAUGAGAUAGCAUCAAUUGUUCAUGUAUGGCGGGCUUUAGCUCUGUUUUGUUUCUCCUUUAUUUUAGAAGUUAACUCUCUUGGCAUCUUAAUUUUCCUUAUUGUCUGCAUAUAUAUAUUUCAAAUUUUGUUUAUUUAUUUAUUGUUUUUGGGGUGGGGCUUAGACUGAAGACUUUUGUAAGGUUUAGGAAGUUAGUUUAUGAAUGUGGGAAAGACUCUAACACUGGUGUUUGGAGAUUGCUUGGUCAUGUUGCGAUUAAGAUAUUUGACUGGACUAUUUAAGAACAAUGGCUAAUAUAUUUUGAAGUUGGGGGUAUUCAUUAAAAUAUGCACAAUACUUUGUCACAUGAAACAAAAUCUAUGAUUUAAUUAAAAACAAGAAAUAAAGUUCUAUGAGGGUGAUCCAAAAAUAGUGUCUUUUGCAGCUACGGUUCUAAUCUUGCAUUAGAUCGCCAACAAGUGCUUUAAUCCUUUCAGAAAUCCGAAAGUAGUGUUAACAUUCUUGGCUAAUAUGCCUCAUAAUUUAGUGGGUGGCAAUACUAAUCUUCAGUAUAAUGUGUUAGCAUUCUUCUGCUGAAAUAAUUCUAGUUUUUUUUUUUUUUUUUGAAACAUUUCUACCCAAGGGAUUCUAAUUUCUGAGCAUAUUGAGAUGUUUAUGACUUGCUGUCCUGGGGUUCAAGAUAUAAAUUGCUGCGGGACUGGAGGUGGUCUUGUUAGCCUUCCUUUUUUAUGGCAUCUUUGUACCCAAGACUAUGUAAGGAAGCAUGUUUCAUGGUGAUAGCUGCUUGGGACAAAGUACUGAUGGUCUGUCACCGGAUCAGCAGGAGGUGAACUUUUCCAUAGAAAUGUAGAUGUGCUAAGGGAAACUGUGAACAGUGAAUCAACAUAUACUGUCUUCCUUAUCAUUUCUCCUUCCUCCAUGGUAUUCUGUGUAGCCUAAUCCAGCGCUGACACUUUGUUAUGUCAUUCAUGGAUUAUGGCAAUGGUGACAUCCCUUUAAUCUAGGCUUGAAGUAAGGUUCUGUGGUCACUUUCACUAUCACAAUGUCCCGACUAAUAUCUGUAAACAGUUAAUCUAAUUUGUGAUAUUCUAAUAAUAGCCAACCCCUACAACCACCUUCCUUUAUGCGAUCAGCAUUGCCAACCUUUGACAUUAGUAUAACAACACCUUUUCUUCCAUCAUACUACAGGUGGGGUGUGGAUACGGGUUCACGUGGGGCCUAAACUUGAAAUUAUGUUUUAUUUUUUCCUAUGUAGGAGUGAAUUGAGGCAAAAAAUCUCUUUUCAUCAGAAGAAGCUGAAGAACAAGCUAAAAAGGAAUCUGCAAAGACAUUUGUACCUAGUGAGGCUCCAAGUACCCCAGAGGAAGAAAAAGAUUAGCUAGUUCCUUAUCUUAUGUAUUUGUUACUAAGUUCUCAAGUAGAAUUACAUCAUAUUGUCCCAAAAAGCGCCUAAAGCUACUAAAACUUACCUAAAUUUCUUCUAUAAUGGAUUGAAAGUUUCUUUUUAAACAUGUAAAUAAUAUAAACUCUAAUUUGGCUUGGACUCUUUAUUUUUGAACUUACAAUGGUGAUGGAUAAAACCUAGACAAACCUAAACCUCAUGCGUAGAGAUCCUUUAACAUAAUUAUUAUGCAAGUCUCAUGUAGGUGCUGCAUUGAAGUAGAUUAAUUUCACCUCUUCCUCUUUUUAAAUUUAAUUUUUCUCUUGAACUUCUUAUGGCCUGGAUUUAGUAGCAAACUAUAUUUUCCUAUACAAACUUAAUGGCUUGUUUGAAGAUUCCUACUCAUUUCCCUCUAGAAACAUUAUCAUUAGAGGUAGCUUUAUUUGAGGUAUGAAAAAAAAAAGGUUUUGCUUUAUGUGGAUUUUAUUUGCAUAUAUGUUGAGACUAUUAAGAUCUUGAAAUUUUGCUAAUUUUUCAUUAUGACAUUGUUUUUUUGGGGCCAUUGAAUUAACUUAUUAAUUUUGGAAAUGUUUUGUUGACGUUUUAAAAUUUCUUGAUCAUUUCUUAAUACCUUAAGAAAUAUUUUUGUCCCUAAGUUGUUGGUUUUUGUACUUAUGUGAAGUUUCCAUUGUCAUGCAGACAAGAAAUGCAACAGGGUUAGUUGCUCCAGCUAUUGCCGUGGGUUUAGGUGACACAUACAUUGGGCACCCUCGUCCCUCCGAUAGGAGCAAGUGGAUUUGCUACAGUUGCGGCUGCAACUGCUAUAAGAACUAUUGUCGGUAGUUUUAGAUAAUCUCUUAAUAGUUGUCGAUAUGUUUAGAAAAUUAGAUAUGCAUAGUUUUGGAUGGUUUAUAUUUUUUGUACUGUUUGGAACUUAAGGAUAUAGUUUUCGAAUGUUUGGAAUAUAUAGACAAUUGUUGAAUGUUUAUAAUUUAUGGAUAUAGUUUCUUUUU